rnacentral:rRNA from 1 species
UACGUAGGGGGCAAGCGUUGUCCGGAUUUAUUGGGCGUAAAGAGCGUGUAGGCGGUUUGGUAGGUCCGCUGUGAAAACUCGAGCUCAACCUCGAGACGCCGGUGGAAACCAUCAGACUAGAGUCCGGAAGAGGAGAGUGGAAUUCCUGGUGUAGCGGUGAAAUGCGCAGAUAUCAGGAAGAACACCCGUGGCGAAGGCAGCUCGCUGGGACGGUACUGACGCUGAGGCGCGAAAGCGUGGGGAGCAAACAGG